GACAGAGGUGCCAAGCGUUAGGCGGAAUCACUGGGCGUAAAGGGUGCGUAGGCGGGUCUUUAAGUCAGGGGUGAAAUCCUGGAGCUCAACUCCAGAACUGCCUUUGAUACUGAAGAUCUUGAGUUCGGGAGAGGUAAGUGGAACUGCGAGUGUAGAGGUGAAAUUCGUAGAUAUUCGCAAGAACACCAGUGGCGAAGGCGGCUCACUGGCCCGAUACUGACGCUGAUGCACGAAAGCGUGGGGAGCAAACAGG
rnacentral:rRNA from 1 species